GAAUGAAUGAAAGAAAAAAAAAAAAAAAAAGGAGAAAAGAGAAAAAAAGGCGACUAACGAAAGAAGCGUGUUGCUCUAUC
rnacentral:ribozyme from 14 species